rnacentral:rRNA from 1 species
GAUGAACGCUGGCGGCGUGCCUAAUACAUGCAAGUCGAGCGCACAGACGAGGAGCUUGCUCCUCUGACGUUAGCGGCGGACGGGUGAGUAACACGUGGAUAACCUACCUAUAAGACUGGGAUAACUUCGGGAAACCGGAGCUAAUACCGGAUAAUAUAUUGAACCGCAUGGUUCAAUAGUGAAAGACGGUUUUGCUGUCACUUAUAGAUGGAUCCGGGCCUCAUUAGCUAGUUGGUAAGGUAACGGCUUACCAAGGCAACGAUGCGAAGCCGACCUGAGAGGGGGAGGGGCCACACUGGAACGGAGACACGGUCCAGACUCCUACGGGAGGCGGCAGUAGGGAAUCUUCCGCAAUGGGCGAAAGCCUGACGGAGCAACGCGGCGUGAGUGAUGAAGGUCUUCGGAUCGUAAAACUCUGUUAUUAGGGAAGAACAAAUGUGUAAGUAACUAUGCACGACUUGACGGUACCUAAUCAGAAAGCCACGGCUAACUACGUG